rnacentral:rRNA from 1 species
GAUGAACGCUGGCGGCGUGCCUAAUACAUGCAAGUCGAGCGAACAGACGAGGAGCUUGCUCCUCUGACGUUAGCGGCGGACGGGUGAGUAACACGUGGAUAACCUACCUAUAAGACUGGGAUAACUUCGGGAAACCGGAGCUAAUACCGGAUAAUAUAUUGAACCGCAUGGUUCAAUAGUGAAAGACGGUUUUGCUGUCACUUAUAGAUGGAUCCGCGCCGCAUUAGCUAGUUGGUAAGGUAACGGCUUACCAAGGCAACGAUGCGUAGCCGACCUGAGAGGGUGGUCGGCCACACUGGAGCUGAGACACGGUCCAGACGCCUACGAGGGGCAGCAGUAGGGAAUCUUCCGCAAUGGGCGAAAGCUUGACGGAGCAACGCCGCGUGAGUGAUGAAGGUCUUCGGAGCGUAAAGCUCUGUUAUUGGGGAAGAACAAAUGUGUAAGUAACUAUGCACGUCUUGACGGUACCUGGUCAGAAAGCCACGGCUAACUACGUG